GAUUGGGGCUGAUGAAGGAGUGCCAGGCGCCAUCAAGGGCAUCUGUUAUCCACACUUUAGGACAGGUUCUCUGGCAGUAGGGCUGGAGGAGAUGCUGUACUGCCUUCUCAGUCUGAACUUUCCAUCAGUUUUCACCUCGCCCUGGAGCCUGAGGGAAACUCCAGAAUGGUUUUGAAGAGACUUCUCACUGAUGUCUGUGGGCCUUUUACUGUCUUCGGAAGAAGCGGUCCUGUUGGAUUCGAGAUCUCAGUUGUUGGGCUAUAAGAUUCUCAUCAUAUUGGUAAACUUUUCCAUUUCCUUCCUCAGAAAUUAGAAUUAGAUGGAAGACACGUGGGGAGUCCAGAAGCCCAACAAUCUCAUUGCAUAGGCAACAAAACCAAGGCCCAGAAAGGUGAACAGACACCCCAGGUCUCAUGGUUGACUGCGCAGCUGGGCUGGAACCCAGAGCCCUUUCCAUAUCGCUCCCAUGCCUCUCUGCCUAUUGAAUGGGCAAUUUCUGACCACGGGAGCCAGGGCAUGUUAUGGCAAUUUCUGACCACGGCAGCCAGGGACUUCCCACACUCCGGGGGUGAAGCGCAGCUGAGAACAAGCAUGGGAGUGCCCGGGCUAGCGGCCCAUCUUCCUGCCUUCCCUCGAGGCCCUAAGAGCGGGGAGUUCAUCAGCGGCACGAGGCAUCUUGUUCAUAUUUUCUCGGCUGGGAGGUCCUGGCAAUGUCUUCAUUUCCUGCACGGGAAUGAGUUUUUAAUCUCUGAGCUCAGCUUCACUUUGGAUGGAGUGGGGGUUGGGAGCAGGAAAACCGAAUCUGAAAAUGUACAGCCCCUUCUUCCUGUCGUGGGUCCCUCUGACGGGCUGGCAGCGUCCAGCAGCUGAGAACUAGGGGUCCUGUCCAUGCAGGCUCUGGGCAGUGAUCCAAGAGGCCAGAAGAGUGGAGAUGGAGCAGGGCCACUCCUUGGAGGCCCUGUCAGCACAGCCUUGGGCUCACAGUAAAUGGGGCAGGGGGUAGAGGGUGGUCUUUCUUCUUUCAUUUAGAACAAGCUGGAGGUGAAAAUCAUUUCUGCCCACCCUCCUCCCCCGGGGUGGAGCUCAUUUCACCUUGUAUCUUCUAGGAAGUCUCCUGACCCCCAAGGCUGGAUUAGGUGCAUCUCCUGGGCAGGUGGCGGGGGGCGGGGUGACAUAGCACUAUGUACUGCCCAUCCAUCCCUAGCCCUGUCAGCCGGGUUGCCAUCGCUUGCUGGCAUGUCCCUGACCCCACUGGCCAGACUCUGAUGGGAGGCAUCCUGGAAGAAAAUGGGAAGGGGGUAUUGGUCAGAGGGAGAAGCCAGUCCCACUGUGGUUGGAACUGAGGCCUCAUCUGGUCCCACAAGGGGCCCUGGAGCUGGGGUGACUCUUUGGAGUUGACCCAGACUGUAGCAAGGAGGCCAGGCCUUUCUUUCCCUGCAUUAGGCUGUGCCCUGGAAGCCACCGGCAGCUGACAGUCCGAGUAGCUGGCAGACGGGUCUGCCUCCUGAGGAAGGAACCUGGGAUGAACACCUGGAAGAGACUUUCUGAUUGCUAUGGUAACAGAUAGCAUGCUACCUAACACUUAAUAGGCAUCCCAUGAAUAUUUGAAUAUAUAAAUGAAAGAUGGCAUUUUGAGGGCCUUUUCUUCUCUGGGCUAAAAAUGCCAGAUCUUUCAGACUUUCUCCAUGAACAUGAUUUUCAGUGCUUGCAUCACCCUGGCUCCUGUCUGCUUUGAGAAUAAUCAUGCCCUGCACGACACUUUGGUCCAUGAUGGACAACAUGUACAACCGGGGGCCGAAUAAGAUUAUAAGGAGAUGAAAAAUUCCCUCACAUAGUGACAUCGCAGCCACCAUAACGUUGUAUUACAACACAUUGCUCACGUGUUUGUGGUGAUGCUGGUGUACACAAACCUGCUGCGCUGCCGGUCCUGUGGAAGUUCAGAACAUACAACUAUGCACAGUACACAAUAUUGAUCAUGAUGAUAAAUGACUAUUACUGGUGUAUGUAUUUACCAUACUAUACUUUUUUACCAUUUUAGAAUGCUCUUCUACUUAUUUUUUAAAAAAUCAACUGUGAAACAGCCUCAGGCAGGGCCUUCAGGAGGUCCCCAGAAGCAGCCAUUGUUAUCACUGGGAGACGACAGCUCCAUGGUCAUUAUUGCCCCUGAAGAGCUUCCAGUGGGACAAGAUGUGGG
rnacentral:lncRNA from 10 species